AGCGAACAUUGGCGGUAGGCUUAACACAUGCAAGUCGAGCGAGGCGUAAUAGUCGAGCGGCGAACGGGUGCGUAAUACAUGGGAAUCUACCUUGAAGUGGGGGAUAACGUCCAGAAAUGGACGCUAAUACCGCAUAAUCCACAUUGGGAAAGCGUUGCAGCGCUUUAAGAUGAGCCCAUGGCUGAUUAGCUAGUUGGUGAGGUAAUGGCUCACCAAGGCGACGAUCAGUAGCUGGUCUGAGAGGAUGAUCAGCCACACUGGAACUGAGACACGGUCCAGACUCCUACGGGAGGCAGCAGUGGGGAAUCUUGCGCAAUGGGGGCAACCCUGACGCAGCCAUACCGCGUGAGUGAUGAAGGUCUUCGGAUUGUAAAGCUCUUUCGGCGGGGACGACGAUGACGGUACCCGCAAAAGAAGUCACGGCUAACUUCGUGCCAGCAGCCGCGGUAA
rnacentral:rRNA from 1 species